CCAUCAAUUUAGACAAGAUGCAGUUUCUCGAUCCACCCCAUAAAUUAAUCAUUGAUCUCCAAUGAUUCUGUUUGGUGACAUGUUGCUUUCGUUCUCCCUCAAUAAUACAGUCAGACAUGCUGCCCUGUCAAGAUGUCGAUCAUCAACCAUGCAUGCAGAGUUUCGGUGGUCUGUUGCUUCCAGUCUUCGUCAAUAAAUAGAGUCGCACGUUUCCAUAGCGUAGGUGAAGGCAAUGGGAGCCACUGAGAUGGUAAGAGUCCACUGCUUCUUGUGCAUGACCCUCCUCGUUCUACUCUCUACUUCUGCUGCUGCAGGUACUAUGGAUGUGGGUUAUGUCCAGCCAUCUAACACAACCAUGUUCGACGGCGUCGCUGGCGGCACUGGGUGGUUGGAUCCAGAGAUGGCGACGGACCCGCACAUAACCUACCGUGCCGUGGGGAAUGCCGGCCGACCGGCGGCCACGCCUGCCAAGGCUGGGGCGUCUUACACCCGUGGGUGUUCGGGUGCUGCUUAUUGCAGAAAGUGAUCCUUUAAGUCUCUUCGUUUCCAUGGGAGUCUCAUGAUCGAUGUGUCGUCGCAGAACCUACUUUGCUUGUAUGACUUGAUUAUGUUAUCAUUUGGCUUGCUUAUCUUUUUCCUGUGUUUGUUGUUUCACUUCUCUGCGUGGAAAACAUUAACGUUUCGAUUUAUGAAACUUAAUUGUUCUUUUUCGAUUGACUGUAUGUAUCAGAGAACAUUCUUAAUGUCGAUCAUAAACCUGAAUAAAAAAAAUGAAAUAUUGCGUUA
rnacentral:lncRNA from 1 species